rnacentral:rRNA from 1 species
UUGUACACACCGCCCGUCGCUACUACCGAUUGAAUGGCUCAGUGAGGCCUUCGGACUGGCUCAGGGAGGUUGGCAACGACCACCCCGAGCCGGAAAGUUGGUCAAACUCGGUCAUUUAGAGGAAGUAAAAGUCGUAACAAGGUUUCCGUAGGUGAACCUGCGGAAGGAUCAUUA